rnacentral:rRNA from 1 species
AGAGUUUGAUCAUGGCUCAGAUUGAACGCUGGCGGCAGGCCUAACACAUGCAAGUCGAGCGGUAGAGAGAAGCUUGCUUCUCUUGAGAGCGGCGGACGGGUGAGUAAUGCCUAGGAAUCUGCCUGGUAGUGGGGGAUAACGUUCGGAAACGGACGCUAAUACCGCAUACGUCCUACGGGAGAAAGCAGGGGACCUUCGGGCCUUGCGCUAUCAGAUGAGCCUAGGUCGGAUUAGCUAGUUGGUGAGGUAAUGGCUCACCAAGGCGACGAUCCGUAACUGGUCUGAGAGGAUGAUCAGUCACACUGGAACUGAGACACGGUCCAGACUCCUACGGGAGGCAGCAGUGGGGAAUAUUGGACAAUGGGCGAAAGCCUGAUCCAGCCAUGCCGCGUGUGUGAAGAAGGUCUUCGGAUUGUAAAGCACUUUAAGUUGGGAGGAAGGGUACUUACCUAAUACGUGAGUAUUUUGACGUUACCGACAGAAUAAGCACCGGCUAACUCUGUGCCAGCAGCCGCGGUAAUACAGAGGGUGCAAGCGUUAAUCGGAAUUACUGGGCGUAAAGCGCGCGUAGGUGGUUCG